CUCACUUCCUCACUUCCUCCCUCAACUCUCUGGCUCUCUGCGACUCCGCCUCUCACAAAGUCACAAUUGGUCUUCCUCAGUCCUCACCUCUGCGGCUCUGCCUCUCAACUCUCACAAAUCACAAUCGGUCUCUUGCGUCUCUGUCCCAGCCUCCCAGGUACCCCAAGGUGGUCUUGAUUGGCGACUCCGGCGUCGGCAAGUCCAAUCUCCUCUCCAGCCUUCACGGGCAGAUCUGGUGGUUUGUGGUUGCAUGUGGGUUUGUUGAACAUUAAUAGCUGGCCAUAGCCGUGAUACUGUCAUCAAAGCGACAGCACUGGUUGAUAGAGAUGGUGGUGUCUUUGGAUGAAAGACACGUCGGGGGGAGGAUUCAAGGAAGCAUAUCAAGUGUGCAGCUGAGAUUGUUUGCCACCAACUUUUCAAGGAACAUACAUUCAUAACUUGAUGGCAACCUCAUCGGAGGACUAGAGGAGCAGAGGAGGACUAGAGGAGCAGCUGCAUGGCAUUGAGCAUGGCAGCAUGGAACUGAUGGAAGUUUGGUUGUUCACUUGUUGUCUUGUUG
rnacentral:lncRNA from 1 species